ensembl:lncRNA
AAAAAGUAUAAAACGUAGAGUAUUUACUCCUAACUACCACUGGGCAAGGACAUUCCUUUACCACCUAAAAAGUAUCUUCAUCGUAUAUGGGGGAGACACCGACAGUGGGAGACCAUAUCUUGCCAGAAUCAUCAAGGCUUCCACGAGAAAUGAAGUGAAUCACGAGAAAGUCAUUUGACAUUAAGGAUUCAUCUUUUUAACCAACCAGUUCCCAGGUCUAACCAGGUAUUCACAAAUAUUCUUUUCUGACUCAUCUUGUACAUCUUCUA